rnacentral:rRNA from 1 species
AGCGAGCGCUGGCGGCAGGCCUAACACAUGCAGGUCGAACGAAGUCUUCGGACUUAGUGGCGGACGGGUGAGUAACACGUGGGAACGUGCCUUUAGGUUCGGAAUAACUCAGGGAAACUUGUGCUAAUACCGAAUGUGCCCUUCGGGGGAAAGAUUUAUCGCCUUUGGAGCGGCCCGCGUCUGAUUAGCUAGUUGGUGAGGUAAAGGCUCACCAAGGCUACGAUCAGUAGCUGGUCUGAGAGGAUGACCAGCCACGUUGGGACUGAGACACGGCCCAAACACCUACGGGAAGCAGCAGUGGGGACUCUUGCGCAAUGGGCGAAAGCCUGACGCAGCCAUGCCGCGUGGAUGAUGAAGGUCUUAGGAUUGUAAAAUCCUUUCACCGGUGAAGAUAAUGACUGUAGCCGGAGAAGAAGCCCCGGCUAACUUCGUGCCAGCAGCCGCCGUAACAC